rnacentral:rRNA from 1 species
CCUACGGGAGGCAGCAGUGGGGGAUAUUGCACAAUGGGGGGAACCCUGAUGCAGCGACGCCGCGUGAGCGAUGGAGUACUUCGUUAUGUAAAGCUCUGUCAGCAGGGAAGAAAAUGACGGUACCUGACCAAGAAGCCCCGGCUAAAUACGUGCCAGCAGCCGCGGUAAUACGUAUGGGGCAAGCGUUAUCCGGAUUUACUGGGUGUAAAGGGAGCGUAGGCGGCAGGGCAAGCCUGAUGUGAAAGCCCGGGGCUCAACCCCGGGACUGCAGUGGGAACUGGCCGGCUGGAGUGCAGGAGGGGCAAGCGGAAUUCCUAGUGUAGCGGUGAAAUGCGUAGAUAUUAGGAGGAACACCAGUGGCGAAGGCGGCCUGCUGGACGGUGACUGACGCUGAGGCUCGAAAGCGUGGGGAGCAAACAGGAUUAGAUACCCGGGUAGUC